rnacentral:rRNA from 1 species
CGGUAGCAGGAGGAAGCUUGCUUUCUUGCUGACGAGUGGCGGACGGGUGAGUAAUGCUUGGGAAUCUGGCUUAUGGAGGGGGAUAACUACUGGAAACGGUAGCUAAUACCGCGUAAUAUCGAGAGAUUAAAGGGUGGGACUUUCGGGCCACCUGCCAUAAGAUGAGCCCAAGUGGGAUUAGGUAGUUGGUGGGGUAAAGGCCUACCAAGCCUGCGAUCUCUAGCUGGUCUGAGAGGAUGGCCAGCCACACUGGAACUGAGACACGGUCCAGACUCCUACGGGAGGCAGCAGUGGGGAAUAUUGCACAAUGGGGGGAACCCUGAUGCAGCCAUGCCGCGUGAAUGAAGAAGGCCUUCGGGUUGUAAAGUUCUUUCGGUGAUGAGGAAGGCAGGUAUUUUAAUAGAAUACUUGAUUGACGUUAGUCACAGAAGAAGCACCGGCUAACUCCGUGCCAGCAGCCGCGGUAAUACGGAGGGUGCGAGCGUUAAUCGGAAUAACUGGGCGUAAAGGGCACGCAGGCGGAUUGUUAAGUGAGAUGUGAAAGCCCCGAGCUUAACUUGGGAAUUGCAUUUCAGACUGGCAGUCUAGAGUAUUUUAGGGAGGGGUAGAAUUCCACGUGUAGCGGUGAAAUGCGUAGAGAUGUGGAGGAAUACCGAAGGCGAAGGCAGCCCCUUGGGAAUAUACUGACGCUCAUGGCGAAA